rnacentral:lncRNA from 1 species
CAUGGGGGCCCCUUCCCAGGAGGCCACAGGGAGCCUGGAGACCCUGUGUCCUGAGUGCUGCCUGCUGGGGAAAAGAGUGUGUCCUGUCCCUCUCCUCCCCCAUUCUGGGGUGCUCCCAGGCUUGUGACUACACUGGUCCCUGACUUCCUUAGCACCUGUGCUACCAGCAUCCUGAGCCCAGGGCUGCUGUCUCCAGCUUUCUAGCAAGUCUAGCUCUGCCUCAGCGGCGCAGCCUGCAGCCGCCUGCAGCCAUCUGGUCUCCCAGGCGCCAGGCUGCUGCCAGCAGAAGGAGAUAAAGAACAAAGUGGUGUUGAGAGUAGCUCCCCGGGCCUCUGGCCACCCUUCCCAGAGCCCCCUCCUUCUGAGGCCUGGGCCAAGGCAUGUUGGGCUAGGAGGUGGUACAGCCCUAAGAUUAAGUUUUAGGUCCUGAGUAGAAGGAUCUCUUUCCCUGAAAUGUAUCUUUCCAACCCCCUUCCCAGUGCUUGAACCCUUGGCAGGUUGUGGGAGUUUUUUUUUUUUUUUUUUCCUUGCACGGGUCUCCAAGAAAAGCAGGCUCCAGCAUAGCAUACACUGGGCCUGGGUUUCAGUCCCCAGUACCACACACACACACACACACACACACACACAGAGCUGAUUUUUAAGCAGAGUCUGUGGAGGUAGCACUGUGUGUGGCCUGGGGUGUGUCCGUGUGACAGAUACAUAGUCAUGGGAUUUGUGUGGGGGGUGCGUGUGUGAAGGUAGCCUGGUGAGGCCUGGGAGUAGGGGCUUUUACCUGUGGGUGUAGAUGAGACACAUUUGUGUGGUGUUUGUGUGGGCAGUGUGAAUCUGAGCGAGUCUGUGUGAGGUGAGAAGAGAGAACGAGACAUUUACAGAGCCUGUCACUUCCUUCUAGGCUAUGAGUGAGUGGACCCUCACUCAUUGGGUGCCCCCAUUGAAGGUUUUAAGGGACUUGUCUAACACUGGAGAACAGAGCAUGUAUACUGUUGAGGGGGUUCCACAUUCCACCACUCCCCUCUGAGAGCUGGUCCCAUGACCCUGGGGCUAGGUGCUAGUGUCAAAAGAAAAUAAAGUUGGGUGCGAUGGCGCUUAUGAUCCCAGCAACAUGGGAGGCUGAGGCAGAAGGAUUGCAAGUUUGAGGCUAGCCUGAGCAAUUUGGUGAGUCCUGUCUCAAAAAAUAAAAAGGUGGCAGAGUGGGCUCACCCCCAGUACCACAAAGAAAGAAAGAAAAAAAAAGAAAACAAUAAAAGCAGAUCUAUAUUUGCAUGUAGGGCCUUCCACCCUGCUUUCUGCUUUUGGAUAACCUUGAAUGGUCCCUUGAGUUCCACAGGGAGUGUCCACACCUCUGGCAGCACUGGAGGGAGGUGGUAAGGACCAAGUUCUUACGUCCUGGUGGGGGCCACCCCACUACACCUGGAAGAACCUGAGAACUGAGGUCCUGCGUGCCUCCCCAGGAAAUGACCCUUUCUCCUGCCUUGGAGCAGGGGGAUGGGCACGCUGUGCCGUCCCGGGUCCCCCAGCCCACUGGUGCCGAUCUACAGCAAGCAUUUGGUUUCCAUUUCCCAGCUCAUUAGGGGAGAUCAAGCCCUGAUGGGCUGGGGGCUGGGUUUUCCCCCCCCGCUGGCAAGAAGGCAGGUGGGGGAAGGGAGGAAACACGGAGCGUUGAACUGACUCUCCUGGAUUCGGGCAGCAUAAUCCCCGGAGGGAUGGCCAAGCCUUCAGCCUGUUCCCCAUCAAUGUUCUGAGGUUCAGCGGCUGCCACCCCUUCGGCUCCUUGCAGGAAAAGCCCAUUGUCCCAACCCCUUGGCUCUGAGAGCCAGAUUUUGCCACCAAGCUGCUCCAGGAAUGUCAUGAGGCAUGUAGGAUUUGGGGUGUCUGCUCAGCCCCCCCUUUCCGGAGGGUAUAUGGCUAUGUGGUUAAUGACCCUGAAACAUUUCCAGCCACAGAAACUCCCCCUGCAUUCCAGGCCCCUGUGGCAGUGUCACCUCUGACCCAGAAGUGGCUGGAUGGAGCUGGGAGGCUGCAGCAGCUGCCUUCUGGGUCCUCACGGAAGAGGGGGAAAAGGGGGCAGUCUGUGGUUGUGAGGGAAGGACGACAGGAAGGAAGGGAUUCAAGAGGGAGAAGGAGGUAAGCAGAGGAGGGUCAGCGGAGCCGGUGGCUUUGUCAUACCCCUGGGGGUGGACAGAUAUCACCCUGGCCAAUCAAGGGUCUCAUUAGAUCCUCACUAUUGGAGUGACCUGUCCUCUCUGUGUCUGAG